UACAGAGGGUGCAAGCGUUGUUCGGAAUUAUUGGGCGUAAAGCGCGUGUAGGCGGCUUUGCAAGUCGGGUGUGAAAGCCCUCGGCUCAACCGAGGAAGUGCGCCCGAAACUGCAGAGCUUGAGUACCGGAGAGGAUGGCGGAAUUCCCCAAGUAGAGGUGAAAUUCGUAGAUAUGGGGAGGAACACCGGUGGCGAAGGCGGCCAUCUGGACGGAUACUGACGCUGAGACGCGAAAGCUAGGGGAGCAAACGGG
rnacentral:rRNA from 1 species